AUUGAACGCUGGCGGCAUGCCUUACACAUGCAAGUCGAACGGUAGCGGGCCUUCGGGUGCCGACGAGUGGCGAACGGGUGAGUAAUGUAUCGGAACGUACCUUUCAGUGGGGGAUAACGUAGCGAAAGUUACGCUAAUACCGCAUAUUCUGUGAGCAGGAAAGCAGGGGAUCGCAAGACCUUGCGCUGAUUGAGCGGCCGAUAUCAGAUUAGCUAGUUGGUGAGGUAAAAGCUCACCAAGGCGACGAUCUGUAGCGGGUCUGAGAGGAUGAUCCGCCACACUGGAACUGAGACACGGUCCAGACUCCUACGGGAGGCAGCAGUGGGGAAUUUUGGACAAUGGGGGAAACCCUGAUCCAGCCAUGCCGCGUGAGUGAAGAAGGCCUUCGGGUUGUAAAGCUCUUUCGGCCGGGAAGAAAUCGUAUCAGCUAAUACCUGGUGCGGAUGACGGUACCGGCAUAAGAAGCACCGGCUAACUACGUGCCAGCCGCCGCUGUAAAAC
rnacentral:rRNA from 1 species